rnacentral:rRNA from 1 species
UGGGGAAUAUUGGACAAUGGGCGCAAGCCUGAUCCAGCCAUGCCGCGUGUGUGAAGAAGGCCUUAUGGUUGUAAAGCACUUUAAGCGAGGAGGAGGCUACUUUAGUUAAUACCUAGAGAUAGUGGACGUUACUCGCAGAAUAAGCACCGGCUAACUCUGUGCCAGCAGCCGCGGUAAUACAGAGGGUGCAAGCGUUAAUCGGAUUUACUGGGCGUAAAGCGCGCGUAGGCGGCUAAUUAAGUCAAAUGUGAAAUCCCCGAGCUUAACUUGGGAAUUGCAUUCGAUACUGGUUAGCUAGAGUGUGGGAGAGGAUGGUAGAAUUCCAGGUGUAGCGGUGAAAUGCGUAGAGAUCUGGAGGAAUACCGAUGGCGAAGGCAGCCAUCUGGCCUAACACUGACGCUGAGGUGCGAAAGCAUGGGGAGCAAACAG